rnacentral:rRNA from 1 species
GGGAGAAAAAGUUAUAGGUUAAUACCCUAUGACCUUGAUGUUACCUGCAGAAUAAGCACCGGCUAAUUCCGUGCCAGCAGCCGCGGUAAUACGGAAGGUGCAAGCGUUAAUCGGAAUUACUGGGCGUAAAGCGCGCGUAGGUGGUUUGUUAAGUUGGAUGUGAAAGCCCUGGGCUCAACCUAGGAACUGCAUCCAAAACUAACUCACUAGAGUACGAUAGAGGGAGGUAGAAUUCAUAGUGUAGCGGUGGAAUGCGUAGAUAUUAUGAAGAAUACCAGUGGCGAAGGCGGCCUCCUGGAUCUGUACUGACACUGAGGUGCGAAAGCGUGGGUAGCGAACAGGAUUAGAUACCCUGGUAGUCCACGCCGUAAACGAUGACAACUAGCUGUUGGGAGACUAUGUCUUUCAGUGGCGCAGCUAACGCUUUAAGUUGUCCGCCUGGGGAGUACGGCCGCAAGGCUAAAACUCAAAUGAAUUGACGGGGACCCGCACAAGCGGUGGAGCAUGUGGUUUAAUUCGAUGCAACGCGAAAAACCUUACCUACUCUUGACAUACUUGGGAGCUCUUGUAAUGAGAGUGUGCCUUAUGGAACCAAGAUACAGGUGUUGCAUGGCUGUCGUCAGCUCGUGUCGUGAGAUGUUCCGUUAAGUCGGAUAACGAGCGCAACCCUUACCCUUAUUUGCCAGCGAUUCGGUCGGGAACUAUAAGGGGACUGCCGGUGAUAAACCGGAGGAAGGUGAGGACGACGUCAAGUCAUCAUGGCCCUUACGAGUAGGGCUACACACGUGCUACAAUGGGGGAAUACAGACGGACGCUAAGCCGCGAGGUGGUGCUAAUCCUAGAAAGUUUUYUCGUAGUCCCGGGAUUGGAAGUCUGCAACUCGACUCCAUGAAGUCGGAAUCCCUAGUAAUCYCGAAUCAGCUUGCCC